rnacentral:rRNA from 1 species
CCUACGGGAGGCAGCAGUGGGGAAUAUUGGACAAUGGGGGCAACCCUGAUCCAGCAAUGCCGCGUGUGUGAAGAAGGCCUGAGGGUUGUAAAGCACUUUCAGUGGGGAGGAGGAUAUUUUGGUUAAGAGCUGAGAUAUUGGACGUUACCUACAGAAGAAGCACCGGCUAACUCCGUGCCAGCAGCCGCGGUAAUACGGAGGGUGCGAGCGUUAAUCGGAAUUACUGGGCGUAAAGGGUGCGUAGGUGGUUGUUUAAGUUAGUUUUGAAAUUCCUGGGCUUAACCUGGGCUGGAGGACUAAUACUGAGCGACUUGAGUAUAGGAGAGGAUAGUGGAAUUUCCGGUGUAGCGGUGAAAUGCGUAGAGAUCGGAAGGAACACCAGUGGCGAAGGCGGCUACCUGGCCAGAUACUGACACUGAGGCACGAAAGCGUGGGGAGCAAACAGGAUUAGAUACCCUGGUAGUCCACGCUGUAAACGAUGUCAACUAGCCGUUGGUCAUAUAGAUGUGAUUAGUGGCGCNGCGAACGACGAGUAAGUUAGUACCGCCGUCGGGGAGGUAACGGUCGGUCGAAGAAGUUAAAACGUUAACUUAAAUAGAAGUUAGUUACGGCGUUGAGACGUUGCCGACGGACGACGACGAGGGAGGAGG